rnacentral:pre_miRNA from 1 species
AAAUAGUGUAGUUUUAUAUUGUUUAUGUCCAAUGUUUGACCAUUUAUUUUAUUAGAAAUUUUUUAUGAUAAAUAUUUUUUAUUACAUGAUAAAACAUGAAUGGUACUUUAUGUGUGACUAUUUUUUAAUAAUAAAAAUAUAUAAUUUUUUUAAAUAAGACGGACGGCCAGUUAGACACGGUAUAUACAUAUACGGUUGCACUUGUA